UACGUAGGGCGCAAGCGUUUAUCCGGAAUUAUUGGGCGUAAAGAGCUCGUAGGCGGUUUGUCGCGUCUGCCGUGAAAGUCCGGGGCUCAACUCCGGAUCUGCGGUGGGUACGGGGCAGACUAGAGUGAUGUAGGGGGAGACUGGAAUUCCUGGUGUAGCGGUGGAAUGCGCAGAUAUCAGGAGGAACACCAAUAGCGAAGGCAGCUCGCUGGGACGGUAUUGACGCUGAGGUGCGAAAGCGUGGGGAGCGAACAGG
rnacentral:rRNA from 1 species